AUGUACAUAUGGGUGUGUGUGCGCGCCUGUGUCUGUAAGUGUGUAGCGUGUGGUGCGGUUGGAGUGUGGGGGAUCCCGUUUUCCGCCCAGGGUACGUGGAUCCACUGCCUGGGUUCUGCUGACCCCCACCAAUUGCUGGCCUUGUGCUGCGGGCCCGGUGUGGUGCCAGGGGAUGAGGUCAGGCUGAUGUUUUUCUGCUCAUGCAGGGGAGGUGGACUGGGGGUGGGCCCCACUCUGGGCACGGGGGCAUCUCCUAGCGGGCUCCCUACGAACCGUGGGUCCUCGGGCUCCAUUCUCUCAGGCCAGCCCUCCGACUGGGGGGAGUGUUUGCCCCUGGUUCUCAUGGGGCGGACAGCGUUGACCCACGGUGGCCCACUCUGACCUCGGGUGCUGUCUCUGUGGCUGCUGCAGCUCUGUCUGGGGGGUUCUGUGUGGGCGGCUUGGGUUGCAACACCUGCCCUCCUGAAACUGAAGGUGCAUGGUCUCCCUGGCUGCUAGGAUUCUUUCCUCUGCUCAUUGGAUGGGCGUAGUGGCCGAGCUCCUCACUCACUUCUACUUUUGUAAUGCUGCAGUCUGGUGGUGGAGACUUAGAUCGCCCCGAACCCAUCUUUCAGAGUCCCGGCGGUUUACUGCCUUAGACUUUUAUGUGUUCCGGCCGGAACCUUUUUGUGAAAUUUCUCUUCCACGGACGUCUCCGUAGAAAGGGAACCGCUCAGAUCAGCGACAGAGUUCUCUGAAGUGCUCCCUCAUCGUCAGGCCCCUCCAAGACCCGGGUCCCUUGUAUCUCAAACACUUCCCCCUGCAAACGUGCUCCGUCUGUCAGAAGCCGUCUUUUAUUUCUUGUCCACUCCUGUUGGACUGCGCUCAGAUCUGCACACUGGUCUGUAUCCUCAGUACAGACGAAAAGCUCGGUUCCACGAGCCAACCCUUAGCAACCACCGUCUCAGCCACCAGGGCAGACUUUGACCUAAUUAAUUUUACCAAAAUAUUAAAUUAAAAAAUUUAAAUUUUUGUUCCUAAUAUUAUAUUUUGGAUGUUUUCAGUCAAAUAGUCUUUUUAGAAACAUUAUUAUCUCUAGUCCUAAUCAUGUUUUCUUUUAUGUUUUAGUCUAGUAGGGGAUGCUUUAGAAUUAAUUGUUAUUUACCUUACUUUCCCUAAACCAAAUGAUCAGAGCCAAGUAAACCCGAAUACCUGAAACCAAAUUCAAACUCGUUUUUUUCUUUUCUUCAAUAAGUCGCAACAAAACGGAAUCUCUUCCACCGGGCCGAGUAGAGGUUGGAUUUUGAGAUCGUUGGAUCUCGUCAGAGGCGAUCUAGACGGGUGAGCAGUCCUCCCAGCUCUGAAUGUCUGUAGAGGUUUGGAGGCUGAGCGACCCUAGUCCUCAGGACUAUCGUCCCUGGUCACACCGUCCAGACGACCUGCAGCGGAUCCUGUUUGUAGACGCCAAUUUCUGUGGUGGAAAUUUUCCAUAAAGAAGCAGAUGAGAGAGUUGUCCUUUUGUGCGAUUUAUUGAAAUAAUACAGAAAAUAAAAAUAAUGGGGAAAGCAAAUAAAAAGCAUGGAUGUUGAUCGUGCACAUCAACAAACCAAAAACCAGCUGGGGAGAUCAGUGCACACACCACGAAGGUGUGAUGCAAAGAGCCCACGAUCCUCAAGUUGUCUUUGCCUUUUAACCCCUUUCUCUGGCUCUGGUGGAAUGUCUCUCUGCAGCAAUGGAAUUGUUUUUGACACCUUAUCUCGCUGUGAGUGUGAAUGUUUGCUUUCUCACUUCUGCAUCGUCAUGUCUUGUUAUCCAAAGGAAGGAACACCGAGCUUCCAAGACAAGAUGCAUUCGCUUUAACAGCCUUGGGUCUGGUGGGGAGUCAGAUAGGAAGGGGCCAGAGUCCGGGUGUAAAAGACAAACAUAUAUCAUGAAUUAUUAGUCAGUCAAAUGGAACAUCAGAUGUUUAGACUUGAUGUACGACAGGGCGCAAGAGAUUAAUUGCUGGUGUAAGAAUGUUCAGUUCAGUAUUGCACCUAACCAGCACAUGACGACUGUUCCAUUACACCAGUCCCUGGUCCAACCAUCCUGCCUGUGCUCUGUUGUUGUUUGUUGUUGUUGCUGUGCUUUUCUCUCUCUCUCUAUUCCUCACCCCAACCGAUCAGGGCAGAUGGCCGCCCACAUCCAGCCUGGUUUUGCUGGAGGUUUCUUCCUCAUUAGAGAGGGAGUUUUUCCUCUCCACUGUUGCUGUCAAACUAAAGGGUUGCUGUAUGUGGGAUCUAUUGGGUUUAGUUGUGUAAGGUCCUAAACCUUACUUUGUAAAGUGCCUUGAGAUAACUAUGUUGUGAUUUGGUGCUAUAUAAGUAAAAUAAAAAUGAAAUUGAAAAUUGAAUUGAUAGCCCACAAUAUUUUAAUUAGCGCCGCAUAGCCACGUUUGUAGCUCGCGGGGAAAACAGGAAAUGAAAGUUAGACUGGCUUAGUUGGAAAUAUGAAUGUUAAAUGUUAGACAUCAUUCAUUUACUUGUUUCUCAGUCCACACAGCCCCAUAGCUGAUCUACAGCUGUCACGUAACAGAAGAACAAAAGAACAAAGGACGAAUCAGGAACAAACUGGAGUGCUUGCUGCUUGCUACAGAGCCUGAGCGGCUUGGCUGUCACAUGACAAAAGACCGAAUACCUGAGGAAGGACGCUCAGUUAAGGGAGGACUGCAAAACGUCAACCCUGAUGCUCUCUCUAGGCAAUUUGAGUGGGAAAGUGAUUCCAGUACACAGGAGGAGGAAAACAUGCUGAGACCAGUGGUGGUUUGGUGGGGGCGCGACUCUGAGCUGGCAUGUCAUCUUGGUCGUCUCCAGGACUGUGUCAUUAAUAUUGCAGCGCUAUUGGUGGCCUUCAAUACGUGUGAACAUGCUUCACUGGUUUCUGCAUUUGGGUUCUACUUUGGUUCAGUUUCGUACGGGUUAUAACACUAUCUACAUUGCACGGAGAAACCUCCAGAAGUGAGGAGACUUGAGAAGGACGACCCUUACUGUGCACACACAGCCAAGCGCCGCCUAGGGCUGUACCGGUUCACGCUGUCAAACCAUACAUCUACAGACAUGUUCCUGAGAUAACACACAAGAGAAGCUUUGAGUUGCCUACAUGAGACAACGUGUAUCCUUUGCAUCACAGGAGUGACAGUGACUCAGGCGACAUUGGGAGGGAAACCUAGUGGUGAUAACAAAUCCCAAGUGUCUCUGCUGUCAGCUGAUUACAACUUGAAAGACUCAAACGAACAAUCAAUGCGUCUAUACAGUUACUUUGAUUAUAACUUUAUUAACUGUAUACAUGUAUGUUUUUAUGUGAUUUUACACACUUUUUUUCAAUUAGAAAAUUGCACAACAAUAUAUCCUAAGAUGUUUUGCUUGCAAUUACUUUAUCUACAGCUACAGUUAGUUUACAUUUUUCACUGAAAGAUGAUGGAGGUCAACGCAGGAUGUACAUGUUGGCUGUGUCAACAGUAGCAACAUUAUGUAUUGUGAGUCUGGCAUUUUGGUUAGCCCAAGAUACUCCUAAUCAGUCGCUUCAGUCGUACUUUUAUUUAUUUGCGGUGAGUUCAUCCCGCGAUUUUGUUACCCAACUGUAUGUGGUGAAAUGUUUCAAGUUUAUCAUGUUCCUUCACCCAUGGACAGGUGCAUUCUUUUGAUAAGGUAUUCUCACCUUAAUUGAAAGCUCAGUUGAAAAAUACAUCAAACUCCUACCAACCCCCCGCAUUAGAUUUAUUAUCUGUCAAUCAAAACAUGUAAACAUGAAGAGCUGUGUAAAAACGAUCCUACAUAUUUGCUCUACGAUAUUGUAGAAGACAGCAGCAGCGCUGCUGAUGUCAUGAAGAC